rnacentral:rRNA from 1 species
GAUGAACGCUGGCGGCGUGCCUAAUACAUGCAAGUCGAGCGAACAGACGAGGAGCUUGCUCCUCUGACGUUAGCGGCGGACGGGUGGGUAACACGUGGAUAACCUACCUAUAAGACUGGGAUAACUUCGGGAAACCGGAGCUAAUACCGGAUAAUAUAUUGAACCGCGUGGUUCAAUAGUGAAAGACGGUUUUGCUGUCACUUAUAGAUGGAUCCGCGCCGCAUUAGCUAGUUGGUAAGGUAACGGCUUACCAAGGCAACGAUGCGUAGCCGACCUGAGAGGCUGAUCGGCGACAUUGGAACUGAGCCGCGGUCCAGACUCCUACGGGAGGCAGCAGUAGGGAAUCGGCCGCAGUGGGCGAAAGCAUGACGGAGCAACGCCGCGUGAGUGAUGAAGGUCUUCGGAUCGUAAAACUCUGUUAUUAGGGAAGAACAAAUGUGUAAGUAACUAUGCACGUCUUGACGGUACCUAAUAAGAAAGCCACGGCUAACUACGUG